rnacentral:rRNA from 1 species
UACGUAGGUGGCAAGCGUUGUCCGGAUUUAUUGGGGUUAAAGGGUGCGUAGGCGGCUUAUUAAGUCAGUGGUGAAAUACUCUAGCUCAACUAGAGGGGUGCCAUUGAUACUGAUGAGCUUGAGUACAGAUGAGGUAGGCGGAAUUGACGGUGUAGCGGUGAAAUGCUUAGAUAUCGUCAAGAACACCUAUAGCGAAGGCAGCUUACUAGGCUGUAACUGACGCUGAGGCACGAAAGCGUGGGGAGCAAACAGG